UGGGGAAUAUUGGGCAAUGGAGGAAACUCUGACCCAGCAACGCCGCGUGAAUGAUGAAGGUCUUCGGAUUGUAAAGUUCUUUUCUAAGGGAAGAAGAAAGUGACGGUACCUUAGGAAUAAGCCUCGGCUAACUACGUGCCAGCAGCCGCGGUAAUACGUAGGAGGCAAGCGUUAUCCGGAAUGACUGGGCGUAAAGGGUGCGUAGGUGGUUCAGCAAGUUAGUAGCGUAACUCCGGAGCUCAACUUCGGCACUACUACUAAAACUGUUGGACUUGAGUGCAGGAGGGGCAACUGGAAUUCCUAGUGUAGCGGUGGAAUGCGUAGAUAUUAGGAAGAACACCGGUGGCGAAGGCGAGUUGCUGGACUGUAACUGACACUGAGGCACGAAAGCGUGGGGAGCAAACAGG
rnacentral:rRNA from 1 species